AGUGAACGCUGGCGGUAGGCCUAACACAUGCAAGUCGAACGGCAGCACAGUAAGAGCUUGCUCUUACGGGUGGCGAGUGGCGGACGGGUGAGGAAUACAUCGGAAUCUACUUUUUCGUGGGGGAUAACGUUGGGAAACUUACGCUAAUACCGCAUACGACCUACGGGUGAAAGCAGGGGAUCUUCGGACCUUGCGCGAUUGAAUGAGCCGAUGUCGGAUUAGCUAGUUGGCGGGGUAAGGGCCCACCAAGGCGACGAUCCGUAGCUGGUCUGAGAGGAUGAUCAGCCACACUGGAACUGAGACACGGUCCAGACUCCUACGGGAGGCAGCAGUGGGGAAUAUUGGACAAUGGGCGCAAGCCUGAUCCAGCCAUACCGCGUGGGUGAAGAAGGCCUUCGGGUUGUAAAGCCCUUUUGUUGGGAAAGAAAAGCAGCAGGUUAAUACCCCGCUGUUCUGACGGUACCCAAAGAAUAAGCACCGGCUAACUUCGUG
rnacentral:rRNA from 1 species